rnacentral:rRNA from 1 species
ACUAACUAGGAUUCCCUUAGUAGCGGCGAGCGAACAGGGAUGAGCCCAGCACCGAAUCCUGCGGCCGGCAACGGUCGCCGGGACAUGUGGUGUUUGGGAGGGUCCGUAUUCCGGUGGUUGUGCGGCGUGUCCAAGUCUUUCUUGAAAGGGGCCAUUUACCCAUAGAGGGUGCCAGGCCCGUAGGACCGUUGCGCACUGCCGGAGGAUCUCUCCUCCGAGUCGGGUUGCUUGAGAGUGCAGCCCUAAGCAGGUGGUAAACUCCAUCUAAGGCUAAAUAUGACCACGAGACCGAUAGCGAACAAGUACCGUGAGGGAAAGUUGAAAAGAACUUUGAAGAGAGAGUUCAAGAGUACGUGAAACCGUUCAGGGGUAAACCUGAGAAACCCGAAAGUUCGAAUGGGGAGAUUCAUGCGUGGCUCUUGUGCGGCGGUCGGCUGUCGACUGACUGUUGGCGCUUCGGCGCCGGCGGCUUCGCGGUCACCGUGGCCGCACGGGAACGCGUGCACUUCUCCUCCAAGUAGGACGUCGUGACUCGUUGGGUGCCGGUCUAAGGCGCGGUGUGGAGCCCGUUGUGUGCGUUUCGGCGCCGCUGCGGACCACCGCUGUCCCGAUCGGCUCGCUCGACGGUAUGAUGAUGGCGCGGGGCCGCGACUUGUUCGCGUCCGGCCCGUCGCAAGUUCGAGCGGUAGCCUUGAAUUCGGACCUAGUGCCGGAUCGAGGCCCGCCCGGCUGUUGGCGACGGUGUCCUCGGACAGACUCCGUAUACACGCCUGUCUACGACGCUAUUGCUUUGGGUACUUUCAGGGCCCGUCUUGAAACACGGACCAAGGAGUCUAGCAUGUGCGCAAGUCAUUGGGACGUGCAAAGCCUAAAGGCGCAAUGAAAGUGAAGGUCCGCUCUUGCGGGUGGACCUAGGGAGGAUGGGGCGCGUUACGGCGCGCCUUUGCACUCCCGGGGCGUCUCGUUCUCAUUGCGAGAUGAGGCGCACCUAGAGCGUACACGCUGGGACCCGAAAGAUGGUGAACUAUGCCUGGUCAGGACGAAGUCAGGGGAAACCCUGAUGGAGGUCCGUAGCGAUUCUGACGUGCAAAUCGAUCGUCGGAACUGGGUAUAGGGGCGAAAGACUAAUCGAACCAUCUAGUAGCUGGUUCCCUCCGAAGUUUCCCUCAGGAUAGCUGGCGCUCGUCAUGCGAGUUUCAUCCGGUAAAGCGAAUGAUUAGAGGCAUUGGGGUCGAAACGGCCUCAACCUAUUCUCAAACUUUAAAUGGGUGAGAUCUCCGGCUUGCUUGAUGCCGAAGCCGCGAGAACGAAUCAGAG